rnacentral:rRNA from 1 species
UACGAAGGGGACUAGCGUUGUUCGGAAUCACUGGGCGUAAAGCGCACGUAGGCGGAUGUGUCAGUCAGGGGUGAAAUCCCGGGGCUCAACCUCGGAACUGCCUUUGAUACAGCACGUCUCGAGUCCGGAAGAGGUGGGUGGAAUUCCUAGUGUGGAGGUGAAAUUCGUAGAUAUUAGGAAGAACACCGGUGGCGAAGGCGGCCCACUGGUCCGGUACUGACGCUGAGGUGCGAAAGCGUGAGGAGCAAACAGG